rnacentral:rRNA from 1 species
GACGAACGCUGGCGGCGUGCUUAACACAUGCAAGUCGAACGGAAAGGCCCUGCUUUUGUGGGGUGCUCGAGUGGCGAACGGGUGAGUAACACGUGAGUAACCUGCCCUUGACUUUGGGAUAACUUAAGGAAACUGGGGCUAAUACCGGAUAGGAGCUCCUGCUGCAUGGUGGGGGUUGGAAAGUUUCGGCGGUUGGGGAUGGACUCGCGGCUUAUCAGCUUGUUGGUGGGGUAGUGGCUUACCAAGGCUUUGACGGGUAGCCGGCCUGAGAGGGUGACCGGCCACAUUGGGACUGAGACACGGCCCAGACUCCUACGGGAGGCAGCAGUGGGGAAUAUUGCACAAUGGGCGGAAGCCUGAUGCAGCAACGCCGCGUGCGGGAUGACGGCCUUCGGGUUGUAAACCGCUUUCGCCUGUGACGAAGCGUGAGUGACGGUAAUGGGUAAAGAAGCACCGGCUAACUACGUG